rnacentral:rRNA from 1 species
UACGUAGGUGGCAAGCGUUGUCCGGAGUUACUGGGCGUAAAGCGUGCGCAGGCGGCGCAUCGCGCCCGGCGUGAAAGCCCCCCGGCUCAACUGGGGAGGGUCACGCGAUACUGAUCGACUCGAAGGCAGGAGAGGGUAGUGGAAUUCCCGGUGUAGUGGUGAAAUGCGUAGAUAUCGGGAGGAACACCAGUGGCGAAGGCGACUACCUGGCCUGUUCUUGACGCUGAGGCGCGAAAGCUAGGGGAGCAAACGGG